rnacentral:rRNA from 1 species
AUUGAACGCUGGCGGCAGGCCUAACACAUGCAAGUCGAACGGUAGUACAGAGAGCUUGCUCUCGGGUGACGAGUGGCGGACGGGUGAGUAACGUCUGGGAAACUGCCCGAUGGAGGGGGAUAACUACUGGAAGCGGUAGCUGAUACCGCAUAACGUCGCAAGACCAAAGUGGGGGACCUUCGGGCCUCACACCAUCGGAUGUGCCCAGAUGGGAUUAGCUAGUAGGUGGGGUAAUGGCUCACCUAGGCGACGAUCCCUAGCUGGUCUGAGAGGAUGACCAGCCACACUGGAACUGAGACACGGUUCAGACUCCUACGGGAGGCAGCAGUGGGGAAUAUUGCACAAUGGGCGCAAGCCUGAUGCAGCCAUGCCGCGUGUAUGAAGAAGGCCUUCGGGUUGUAAAGUACUUUCAGCGGGGAGGAAGGCGGUGAAGUUAAUAGCUUCACCGAUUGACGUUACCCGCAGAAGAAGCACCGGCUAACUCCGUGCCAGCCGCCGCGGUAA